AGCUCAGUUGCUCAGUUGGGAGAGCGUUAAACUAUAGAUCGAAAAGCCCUUGGUUCGAUUCCGGGAUUCGUAA
rnacentral:tRNA from 1 species